rnacentral:rRNA from 1 species
UAAUACGGAGGGUGCAAGCGUUACUCGGAAUUACUGGGCGUAAAGCGCAUGUAGGUGGCUUCAUAAGUCUAGUGUGAAAGCCCAGGGCUCAACCCUGGAAGUGCAUUGGAUACUGUGAGGCUGGAGUAUGGGAGAGGAGAGUGGAAUUCCUGGUGUAGAGGUGAAAUUCGUAGAUAUCAGGAGGAACACCGGCGGCGAAGGCGGCUCUCUGGACCAUUACUGACACUGAGAUGCGAAAGCGUGGGGAGCCAACAGGAUUAGAUACCCUGGUAGUCCACGCUGUAAACUAUGGAUACUAGACGUCGGAGGCACUUACCCCUUCGGUGUCGAAGCUAACGCGUUAAGUAUCCCGCCUGGGGAGUACGGCCGCAAGGUUA